rnacentral:rRNA from 1 species
UACAGAGGGGGCAAGCGUUGUUCGGAAUUACUGGGCGUAAAGGGCGCGUAGGCGGCCCGCUAAGUCGAACGUGAAAUCCCCGGGCUCAACCCGGGAACUGCGUCCGAUACUGGGAGGCUUGAAUCCGGGAGAGGGAUGUGGAAUUCCAGGUGUAGCGGUGAAAUGCGUAGAUAUCUGGAGGAACACCGGUGGCGAAGGCGGCAUCCUGGACCGGUAUUGACGCUGAGGCGCGAAAGCCAGGGGAGCAAACGGG